UACAGAGGUCUCAAGCGUUGUUCGGAUUCAUUGGGCGUAAAGGGUGCGUAGGCGGCGCGGUAAGUCGGGUGUGAAAUUUCGAGGCUUAACUUCGAAACUGCAUUCGAUACUGCCGUGCUAGAGGACUGGAGAGGAGACUGGAAUUACGGUGUAGCGGUGAAAUGCGUAGAUAUCGUAAGGAAGACCGUGGCGAAGGCGGGUCUCGU
rnacentral:rRNA from 1 species